rnacentral:rRNA from 1 species
GACGAACGCUGGCGGCGUGCUUAACACAUGCAAGUCGAACGGAAAGGCCCUGCUUUUGUGGGGUGCUCGAGUGGCGAACGGGUGAGUAACAAGUGAGUAACCUGCCCUUGACUUUGGGAUAACUUCAGGAAACUGGGGCUAAUACCGGAUAGGAGCUCCUGCUGCAUGGUGGGGGUUGGAAAGUUUCGGCGGUUGGGGAUGGACUCGCGGCUUAUCAGCUUGUUGGUGGGGUAGUGGCUUACCAAGGCUUUGACGGGUAGCCGGCCUGAGAGGGUGACCGGCCACCUUGGGACUGAGAUACGGCCCAGACUCCUACGGGAGGCAGCAGUGGGGAAUAUUGCACAAUGGGCGGAAGCCUGAUGCAGCAACGCCGCGUGCGGGAUGACGGCCUUCGGUUUGUAUACCGCUUUCGCCUGUGACGAAGCGUGAGUGACGGUAAUGGGUAAAGAAGCACCGGCUAACUACGUG